GAUGAACGCUGGCGGCGUGCCUAAUACAUGCAAGUCGAGCGAACAGACGAGGAGCUUGCUCCUCUGACGUUAGCGGCGGACGGGUGAGUAACACGUGGAUAACCUACCUAUAAGACUGGGAUAACUUCGGGAAACCGGAGCUAAUACCGGAUAAUAUAUUGAACCGCAUGGUUCAAUAGUGAAAGACGGUUUUGCUGUCACUUAUAGAUGGAUCCGCGCCGCAUUAGCUAGUUGGUAAGGUAACGGCUUACCAAGGCAACGAUGCGUAGCCGACCUGAGAGGGUGAUCGGCCACACUGGAACUGGAACACGGUCAAGACUCCUACGGGAGGCAGCAGUAGGGAAUCUUCCGCAAUGGGCGAAAGCUUGACGGAGCAACGCCGCGUGAGUGAUGAAGGUCUUCGGAUCGUAAAACUCUGUUAUUAGGGAAGAACAAAUGUGUAAGUAACUAUGCACGUCUUGACGGUACCUAAUCAGAAAGCCACGGCUAACUACGUG
rnacentral:rRNA from 1 species